rfam:Gossypium arboreum cultivar AKA8401 contig_1296_7, whole genome shotgun sequence.
UGUUAAAAAUUUUAUCUAUUUAUACUGUUAAAAACUGGCGUGAUUGACAGAAUAACUAGAUAUUAAUAUGUGACGUGUCAUGUGUACCUCAAUACUGACAUACAGAGACCAAUUUUCAAAAGCAUAAAUUGAUAGAAUUUUUAACA